UNAUGCAGGCAAAGUCGANCNAAUGGUUUGGAGAGCUUGCUCUCCAAAAAGNUAGCGGCGGACGGGUGACUAAACACCGUGGGCAACCUGCCCCAUAAGACCCCGGAUACCUCCGGGAAACCGGGGCUAACACCGGAUAAUAUUUUGAACUGCAUGGUUCGAAAUUGAAAGGCGGCUUCGGCUGUACACUUAUGGAUGGACCCGCGUCGCAUUAUACUAGUUGGUGAGGUAACGGCUCACCAAGGCAACGAUGCGUAGCCGACCUGAGAGGGUGAUCGGCCACACUGGGACUGAGACACGGCCCAGACUCCUACGGGAGGCAGCAGUAGGGAAUCUUNCGCAAUGGACGAAGGUCAGACGGAGCAACGCCGCGUGAUGUGAUGAAGGCUUUCGGGUCGUAAAACUCUGUUGUGAAGGAAGAACAAGUGCUAGUUGAAUAAGCNGGCACCUGACGCACCAACCCGCCUCCG
rnacentral:rRNA from 2 species